rnacentral:rRNA from 1 species
UAGGGAAUCUUCCGCAAUGGACGCAAGUCUGACGGAGCAACGCCGCGUGAGUGAAGAAGGAUUUCGGUUCGUAAAACUCUGUUGUUAGAGAAGAACAGCGCAUAGAGUAACUGUUAUGCGUGUGACGGUAUCUAACCAGAAAGCCACGGCUAACUACGUGCCAGCAGCCGCGGUAAUACGUAGGUGGCAAGCGUUGUCCGGAGUUAUUGGGCGUAAAGCGAGCGCAGGCGGUCAAUUAAGUCUGAUGUGAAAGCCCCCGGCUCAACCGGGGGGGGUCCUUGGGAACUGGUUGACUUGAGGGCAGAAGAGGGGAGUGGAAUUCCAUGUGUAGCAGUGCAAUGCGUAGAUAUAUGGAGGAACACCAAUGGCGAAGGCGACUCUCUGGUCUGUAACUGACGCUGAUGCUCGAAAGCGUGGGUAGCAAACAGG